CUGGUCAUGCAACAUUACUCUUUCAUUAAUGACCCGGUGCCCAUUUGCUUUUGAUAGAUUAACUCCGGUCACCACCGGAGUUCUUCAUCUCAAUUAAAUGAUACCGUUACAUCUUCUCCUGCCAAGUGUUCCAAUACUACUUUGCCAAGUGUCAGGCUAUAUUUUAGCAUGUAUACAUAUAGUCCCCCCACUCUCCGGUAUAAUAAAGUGAAACCGAAGAGUGGAAUUGAAAACGUCACCAGAUCCAUCACUUAGUGGCGGGAAAGUGAAUUGACUCCUAGAUUCAUUCGAUAAAUAACUGCUAACUUUGAAUUUAAUCCGCCUGUUGCAAAUCGCGGCGACCCUUCAAUCAACACGAUUGACAUAAAGCUGCCACUCGUUGGAAAUUGUGUCCAUUUGAAUGCCAAACGUUCCAUCUUCCCCGCUUGGAUUAUAAAUAAGGCAAGAAAUCAGCCACCAAACUCAAUCAAGUCAUCUCUAUUUUUAAGCAAAACUUUUCCUUUUUCAAAAAGUACUUCCUGAUUCACCCAAAUCUUUUUCGUCUUCACCAAUAUUACAACCAUGUCUUCUCCUACUAACAAUACUUCGCCUGGACGCCGUUCUAGAAAAGCCGAGUUUCUCUUUCAAAUCGACAGAUUGAUUUGAAUUCUCUUGCCGACAAUAUUCUUCCUGCCGGGUUUAAAUAUCAUGAUGACUUCAGUGUUGUCGAUCAUUAUCAAAGCGUCGAAGAGAUUAAGUCUUUUAUCACUGCUGAUACUAUCCCCAAAGUUCGUGCAGAUUGCAAUUUUACUCCCAAAAUUGCAAUCGUGAUUGUUAAUGAUGGGACCAAGAUGAACCAUCACUCGGAUGGUUUUUCAAGGGUUUAUACUUACCCUUCACGAUAGGCUUCAUUCUUCCUAUACCCUAAAUAAUUAAAGAUUUUUGUCGCCGGUAUCGUGUCUGCGUCGGACAAGUUGCUCCUCAAAUCUGGCGCAUUGUCUUAUUGUAUUCAAUUUUUGGCUGAUCAAGCCGCUCCUUUUACCCUUCAUCAUCUGAUGCACUUAUAUCCUCUUCUGGUUUUUCGGAGAGGGGUUAUUUCACCUAUACCCCCGGGGAAAACACAGUCUGGUUAACCCGGAGGAUGAUUCUGACUGCGGUUGGCUCCAUCGGUUCAUCAUGAUCUGAACUAGUCAUCUCCACUGGUUUGAGCUUGAGCCCUUCCCGCAGGCUUGGAAUCCCACUCGUGAGUCCUUAUUCUAUUCUUUUCUUUUCCUUCAUUUUCGUUUUGUAUAAUAUCGUUAUACUUCAUACUUCUUUCUUCAGCAGUUCCCGUUAAGCCGGAGCUUAUAAUCGGGAUAUUCGAAUGGGUGGUAGCAUUAUUGCAUGCUUCUCCCAAUUUGAUUUUCUCCUGGAGGAGCAUGACGUCUGAUUGGUAGAGAGGGAAGAACCACGGUGAGAUGAACAUUCCCUACCUUCUUUUCCUUGUUUUAGUCUCUCUUUUCCUUCUUAAAUACUUUCGUAAUUGCAGAUCUUCUGGUUCAAAAGCCUAUUUCUUGGAGAGUCCAAACUUGCCCUGUUAAAUAUUGUUAACGAUUCUUCUUCCAACGGGAAACGCACACCAAAAGACGCCUUCGUUUCUCCGGUGGGCAUUGGUUCCAAGAUACGCAGUCAUCGCUUGCUCAUGGAAUCUUGGAGCAAAGUUCAACAAGAUGCCGCUCCUGGGGUAGUUCUUAUCUAUGGCGAUGACAAGACGUGAGCCGGUGCUACCUCGAAUCCAUUGCCUUGUGAUUCCAGCAAAGUGUCCGGAGAAGUCAAGACCCCUCCUGUCAACCAACGUCCAAAAAGUCCUACUCCUCCAGUCAGUGAGCCAUCGCAAAGGAGCUUUGUUCCUCUCUUUGAAUCAGGGACCUCGGGUUCGUCUCCUCACCUCAAGCCUCCGGCUUCUAUCCUAGAAGCCUCUUUGGCACACCUCGCCAAUCUAUUUCUUCAGGGUCAUGUUGCUGCUACUUCUACUGCCGAGCUUGCACGUACACUUUCUCAUUUCCGUUGGGAGAUUAAGCUUCAGGAAGAUAAUGAUCGUCUUUAAGCAGAAGUAGAGAGAUUGCAGGCUGAGAUCCAGGACUCUGACUCCCUUCAGGCUUUUCUGAGAAUACGUUUGGAAGACGCGGCCAAUUCACAAUAGGAUCGAGAAAGCUCUUUACAGACACUGACUUCCUCUUACAUGGGAUUUCAGAACAAAGCUGCGCGUCUUGAAGAUGAUUUAAAUAACAUCCGUGACCAGCUUCUUAGUGUUGAAGUUUCCCAUAAACGUUUGAGGGCCCGGUGUCAAAUAUUGCAACUCUGUCGUGAUUUGGCCAUUCUCGAAACUAGGAGGAAUACAAUAGAAGAGGUAAGUGCUCCUGAUUUUGAUCUCCCAACGGCGCUUCUUCAAGCAGUAAUUGAUUUGGAAGCUACUCUCAAGGACAUCCAUGAUCCUGAGGCAGAUGAACCGGGAAGUGAAGACUCCGGAUCUCCUCCGGUCGUAGGGAUUGCCCCGGACAUUUAGCCCAUGGUUCUUAAGAGGAAGACUGGAUUCAAACUAUCGGACAGCAACCAAAGAAGAGAACAUUCAAGAAGUUCAGUUGCAGAGGAGUAGAUCUCUAUGCUCUUCUCGAUAUGUCAACCGAUGAGCUUGUUAAGCUAUAUAGGAGUAGAUCUUGAUGCUCUUCUCGACAUGUCUACUGAUGAGCUUGUUAAGAUUUUCCCUGCUAGUCCUUGUAAAAGGUUCCAGAGAGGUUUGAAGAGGAAGCGAACCACAGACUUAAUCUUGUUUAAGAAGUUCUUUGCAGAAUUAGUAUCAUUUUGACAUUGCCUUACCAUAGUCACAUAGGAGGAAUUUUUCAUUCUUAUUAUGAGGAUAAUAGAUAUUUUAAAGUAGCAGCAACUUUUGCACUUAUCACUAGUGUUAGGUAGCAUUUAAUUGAUGACUUUUGUUUCUAGCUAAACUAGCGUGAUUUUUGUUGUAUUUCCUAUAAUUUCGAGGCUUUAUCAUUCUA